rnacentral:rRNA from 1 species
GAUGAACGCUAGCUACAGGCUUAACACAUGCAAGUCGAGGGGAAACGAUAGAGAAAGCUUGCUUUUUCUAGGCGUCGACCGGCGCACGGGUGAGUAACGCGUAUCCAACCUGCCCAUCACUUGGGGAUAACCUUGCGAAAGUAAGACUAAUACCCAAUGAUAUCUCUAGAAGACAUCUGAAAGAGAUUAAAGAUUUAUCGGUGGUGUGAGAUGGACCCGCGUCUGAUUAGCUAGUUGGCAGGGCAACGGCCUACCAAGGCGACGAUCAGUAGCCGACCUGAGAGGGUGACCGGCCACAUUGGGACUGAGACACGGCCCAAACUCCUACGGGAGGCAGCAGUGGGGAAUAUUGCACAAUGGGGGAAACCCUGAUGCAGCGACGCCGCGUGGAGGAAGAAGGUCUUCGGAUUGUAAACUCCUGUCCCAGGGGACGAUAAUGACGGUACCCUGGGAGGAAGCACCGGCUAACUACGUG